rnacentral:misc_RNA from 1 species
GAUGAAGAACGUAGCGAAAUGCGAUACGUAGUGUGAAUUGCAGAAUUCAGUGAAUCAUCGAAUCUUUGAACGCACAUUGCACCUCUCGGUAUUCCGGGAGGUAUGCCUGUUCGAGCGUCAUUUGUACCCUCAAGCUCUGCUUGGUGUUGGGUGUUUGUUCCGCCUCUGUGUGUGAACUCGCCUCAAAACAAUUGGCAGCCGGCGUACUUGUUUCGGAGCGCAGCACAUUUUGCGAUCCAGAUCAACGUACAGCGGCAUCCAAGAAGCCUUAUUUAACGCUCUUGACCUCGGAUCAGGUAGGGAUACCCGCUGAACUUAAGCAUAUCAAUAGCGGAGGA